UACGGAGGGUGCGAGCGUUGUCCGGAAUUACUGGGCGUAAAGGGCUCGUAGGUGGCCAACUAAGUCAGACGUGAAAUCCCUCGGCUUAACCGGGGAACUGCGUCUGAUACUGGAUGGCUUGAGUGUGGGAGAGGGAUGCGGAAUUCCAGGUGUGGCGGUGAAAUGCGUAGAUAUCUGGAGGAACACCGGUGGCGAAGGCGGCAUCCUGGACCAUUACUGACACUGAAUAGCGAAAGCCAGGGGAGCAAACGGG
rnacentral:rRNA from 1 species